GAUGAAGAACGCAGCGAAAUGCGAUAAGUAAUGUAAAUUGCAGAAUUCAGUGAAUCAUCGAAUCUUUGAACGCACAUUGCGCCCCCUGGUAUUCCGGGGGGCAUGCCUGUUCGAGCGUCAUUUCACCACUCAAGCCUCGCUUGGUAUUGGGCAACGCGGUCCGCCGCGUGCCUCAAAUCGACCGGCUGGGUCUUCUGUCCCCUAAGCGUUGUGGAAACUAUUCGCUAAAGGGUGUUCGGGAGGCUACGCCGUAAAACAACCCCAUUUCUAAGGUUGACCUCGGAUCAGGUAGGGAUACCCGCUGAACUUAAGCAUAUCAAUAAGCGGAGGA
rnacentral:misc_RNA from 1 species